CCUACGGGUGGCAGCAGUGGGGGAUAUUGCACAAUGGGGGGAACCCUGAUGCAGCGACGCCGCGUGGGUGAAGAAGCGCCUCGGCGCGUAAAGCCCUGUCAGCAGGGAAGAAAAUGACGGUACCUGAAGAAGAAGCCCCGGCUAACUACGUGCCAGCAGCCGCGGUAAUACGUAGGGGGCAAGCGUUAUCCGGAUUUACUGGGUGUAAAGGGGGCGCAGACGGCGAUGCAAGCCAGGAGUGAAAGCCCGGGGCUCAACCCCGGGACUGCUUUUGAAACUGCGUGGCUGGAGUGCAGGAGGGGCAGGCGGAAUGCCUGGUGUAGCGGUGAAAUGCGUAGAUAUCAGGAGGAACACCGGUGGCGAAGGCGGCCUGCUGGACUGCAACUGACGUUGAGGCCCGAAAGCGUGGGGAGCAAACAGGAUUAGAUACCCCGGUAGUC
rnacentral:rRNA from 1 species